CGCGUAGGCGGCGGACCUUGUCGAGUGUGAAAGCCCCGGGCUCAACCUGGGAGGUGCGCUCGAGACGGGUUUGCUGGAGUUCGGGAGAGGAGAGUGGAAUUCCCAGUGUAGAGGUGAAAUUCGUAGAUAUUGGGAAGAACACCGGUGGCGAAGGCGGCUCUCUGGACCGAGACUGACGCUGAGGCGCGAAAGCGUGGGGAGCAAACAGGAUUGGAUACCCUGGUAGUCCACGCUGUAAACGAUGUGUGCUAGACGUUGGGGAGCGUAGCUCUUCGGUGUCGCCGCAAACGCUUUAAGCACACCGCCUGGGGAGUACGGCCGCAAGGUUAA
rnacentral:rRNA from 1 species